CCAGGCUUAUCGAGACCCACGCUCCCCGGAGAGACGCAAAAGGCAGGUUCCUCUUGUUGAUUAUGGCUUUUAAUUUAAAAAAACAAAACAACUUUGUAUUUGAUAUUUACAAUUCAUUGUAGAAGUCGUGAGGUGGGGGGGAAAAAUUGUGUCAGAAGUGGGAUUUGAACCCACGCCUCCAUACGGAGACCAGAACACUCCGCUAGGGAAGGAGAACCUUGAGUCUGGCGCCUUAGACCACUCGGCCAUCCUGACACUCGAUUUAGGAAAAUACCGAACCCGAGAGCCUGCAAUUUCUGCUGUGAGACAUGGGAGCCCCAUUUGAACAAGCAGAAUUUAACUGAAACAGAAAGGAGACAAUCUAUUUGUAAUUAACUCAGUAAAUAUAUUGAUCACC